AUGGCUCAGGAUGAACGCUGGCGGCGUGCCUAAUACAUGCAAGUCGAGCGAACAGACGAGGAGCUUGCUCCUCUGACGUUAGCGGCGGACGGGUGAGUAACACGUGGAUAACCUACCUAUAAGACUGGGAUAACUUCGGGAAACCGGAGCUAAUACCGGAUAAUAUAUUGAACCGCAUGGUUCAAUAGUGAAAGACGGUUUUGCUGUCACUUAUAGAUGGAUCCGCGCCGCAUUAGCUAGUUGGUAAGGUAACGGCUUACCAAGGCAACGAUGCGUAGCCGACCUGAGAGGGUGAUCGGCCACACUGGAACUGAGACACGGUCCAGACUCCUACGGGAGGCAGCAGUAGGGAAUCUUCCGCAAUGGGCGAAAGCCUGACGGAGCAACGCCGCGUGAGUGAUGAAGGUCUUCGGAUCGUAAAACUCUGUUAUUAGGGAAGAACAAAUGUGUAAGUAACUAUGCACGUCUGACGGUACCUAAUC
rnacentral:rRNA from 1 species